rnacentral:lncRNA from 10 species
CCCCGACUCACCUGGGUCCAUUGCACUCUGUCGCCCCCUCGCGGCCGGCUGGGAAACCGGCCCGUGGCGACCUCUCCAGCGGUCCUGUGCCUGGGAGGGUUAAAGCUCCACUGAGACUAGGGAAUCUGGCGAAUCCGGUUCUGCCUUGGCGACUGACCUCGAUUCACCUUGCGGAACCGCAGUAACCUCAUCCAGGAGAUGAGGGGGCUGUGCUGGGUCAGUUUUUCCCCUAAACUCAACCAUUCAGCGACUGGGAUGCUUUUCUAAAUUCUCUCCCAAAGGCCAUUGAGAUUAUACAGGGAAGUGAUAUAUGAGAAAUCUGAGACUCUGAGCAAGGAUGUGGUUGGCCAAGGCCCCCACGUGUCUCCAUCACAAGAGCCCACAUCAGAGCAAGUCCCUGCCUUCAAAGGAUGGAAAGCACAGAAGCAGGCUGGGCGGGGUGGCUCAAGCCUACAAUCCCAGCAUUUUGGGAGGCCAAGACGGGUAGAUCACUUGAGGUCAGGAGUUUGAGACCAGCCUGCUCAACAUGGUGAAACCCCAUCUCUACUAAAAAUACAAAAAUUAGCCAGGUGUGGUGGUAUGCACCUGUAAUCCCAGAUACUUGCGAAGCUGAGGCACAAGAAUUCCUUGAACCUGGGAGGUUGCAGUGAGCUGAGAUCGCGCCACUGCACUCCAGCCUGGGCGACAGAGUGAGACUCCAUCUCAAAAAAAAAAAAAAAAAAAAAGGCUAGUGGCUCAAGCCUGUAAUCCCAGCACUUUGCCAGGCAGAGGCGGACGGAUCACGAGGUCAGGAGAUUGAGACCGUCCUGGCAAACAUGGUGAAACCCCGUCUCUACUAAAAAUACAAAAAAUUAGCUGGGCGUGGUGGCGCGUGCCUGUAGUCCCAGCUACUCAAGAGGCUGAGGCAGGAGAAUUGCUUGAACCCAAGAGGCAGAGGUUGCAGUGAGCCAAAAUUGCGCCACUGCACUCCAGCCCGGGCAACAGAAUAAGACUCAGUCUCAAAAAAAAAAAAAAAAGAAUAAAAAAAGAAAACACGGAAGCAAACAAAGCACAUGGAGGUAAUUACGAAGGGACCCAAGUGGGCUAGUGUGAGAGAGUAGAGGCCAUAUGGGAAGUGGCCUGGACAGGCCUGUUGGAGUUGAUAUUUAAGCUGAGAAGGAGCCAGCGGUAGAAAGGGUGACUACGCAGACAGCAAGUGCAAAGGUCCUGAGGUCACACAGCUAAGAAGACAGAAAGCAGAAUUUGAACUCAAGCUUGAUUCUCUGCACCCAAAGUUCAUGCAUGAUCCCAGGAGCCAUGAUUCCAGAUGCUGCUGCUGACUGGGAGAGAGCAGACAUCAGAAAGAUGACAGAGCCUACGGAAUGGAUGUAUUCAACUCCUCAUGUAUGUGUGCAGGGGACAGGGAGAAGGGCUCUAUUUUCUGAAUCCGAUCUGGGCCAAGUGGUGUAACCAACAUCAUUGCCAAAAUGUGUGAAUUUACACAAUAAAAGGCUCACAAAGUAUUAAAAUUUAGCUCUAUUUCCCGGUGAAUUUAAUAAAUUAUCUUAAUUGAAAAGAAUCAUGUUGGCUGGGUGCAGUGGCU